AAUUUCUUUAUCUGCAGAUGUCAACAGUGCCUCAUCCUCUUUAUUUCCACCAGAAUUUAUAUGGUGGGCCAGGGCUUGGUGAGCGGUGGUAAUUUCCUGUGCAGUAUAUACUGCCCUACUUGUGAGGAGCAUAUUGCUGUUCAAGGGUCAACAUGCAAACACAUGGGGGCAUUACUGAAACCAAUGGAUGUUACCUGGAGAAGCCAGCCUGAAAAUAUCUGGUGCAGUGGCGUUAUGAGGAGUCUUUCAUGGAGCAUGGACUACUCAUCAUCUGUGAAGCCCAGGGCAAGGAGAUCAACAUCUGUCAAGGCAGCUUGUGGAUCUCGCUCGGCUGACCUGCUCCUAGUUAAACUGGUGAAAAGUAUAAAAAUCAACUAUUUAAAGCCUGGACAAGCAGCAAAUGAAGAAACUUCAGUUCAAGAAAAUCUAUGAAAUUCCAGCAAUAGAAGUGAAAGUCUGUGACAUUUGACCCAAGCCUGCUCCCUCCUUUGCCCAUCCCAGCUCUACAGGGCAGAGGCUCCACUCUGACUGCCACUGCAAGAACACGGCUCCCUCUCCUGCCUGCAGCAACCUGUUCCUGAGGCGAAGUCCUGGGUCAGUGUGAUCGAGAGAUGGGGCUUUCUUCUUCUACCCACACGCUACUCAUGCAAGAAAGGCUCUCCCUUGGGCACAGUGGGCUAAUACUUGAGCAGGGAUUGCCUUUGCCUUGUCUUGUGAAGUGGUGCUGCUGCACCAGGACAGGCAAGCUGAGACAACAUCCGGCUGCUUCCUCAUUCUCCAUCAGUGUCAUCUUCUGCAGUGGGGGUGUCAUUCAGAGAGAAGCUUAGCAAGACUGCACCACCAGCUCCAGAAACCUAGCUCAGCGAUUUUGUUUGGGGGAAGAAGCAGGAGGUAAAACAGGUGGCUCUGUUUCUCUUCCCAAAGGAAUACACUUCAUUUGCAACAGAGUAUGGAGAAGUUCACACCGAAGAGUAAUCUCAAGAACAGUGGAAGUGAUGGUGAAAUGCAAUUGGGGGAGAUUCCUGGUUUCAAU
rnacentral:lncRNA from 1 species